rnacentral:pre_miRNA from 1 species
GGGAGCACAGGAUCCUGGGCUGUGUCCCCCGGCACCCUGGGAUCCGGGCCGAGCUGUUGGAAUCACGCUCCUGGGGCCGGGGCUCCU